CACUCCUACGGGAGGCAGCAGUGGGGAAUUUUGGACAAUGGGCGAAAGCCUGAUCCAGCAAUGCCGCGUGAGUGAAGAAGGCCUUCGGGUUGUAAAGCUCUUUUGUCAGGGAAGAAACGGUGAGAGCUAAUAUCUCUUGCUAAUGACGGUACCUGAAGAAUAAGCACCGGCUAACUACGUGCCAGCAGCCGCGGUAAUACGUAGGGUGCAAGCGUUAAUCGGAAUUACUGGGCGUAAAGCGUGCGCAGGCGGUUUUGUAAGUCUGAUGUGAAAUCCCCGGGCUCAACCUGGGAAUUGCAUUGGAGACUGCAAGGCUAGAAUCUGGCAGAGGGGGGUAGAAUUCCACGUGUAGCAGUGAAAUGCGUAGAUAUGUGGAGGAACACCGAUGGCGAAGGCAGCCCCCUGGGUCAAGAUUGACGCUCAUGCACGAAAGCGUGGGGAGCAAACAGGAUUAGAUACCCCAGUAGUCCCAUGA
rnacentral:rRNA from 1 species